rnacentral:rRNA from 1 species
UGGGGAAUAUUGCACAAUGGGGGAGCCCUGAUGCAGCGAUGCCGCGUGGAGGAAGAAGGUUUUCGGAUUGUAAACUCCUGUCUUAAAGGACGAUAAUGACGGUACUUUAGGAGGAAGCUCCGGCUAACUACGUGCCAGCAGCCGCGGUAAUACGUAGGGAGCGAGCGUUGUCCGGAAUUACUGGGUGUAAAGGGAGCGUAGGCGGGAUUGCAAGUCAGAUGUGAAAUACGUGGGCUUAACCCACGGGCUGCAUUUGAAACUGUAGUUCUUGAGUGAAGUAGAGGCAAGCGGAAUUCCUGGUGUAGCGGUGAAAUGCGUAGAUAUCAGGAGGAACACCGGUGGCGAAGGCGGCUUGCUGGGCUUUUACUGACGCUGAGGCUCGAAAGCGUGGGGAGCAAACAGGAUUAGAUACCC